rnacentral:rRNA from 1 species
GCGCCGGCGAUGGUUCAUUCAAAUUUCUGCCCUAUCAACUUUCGAUGGUAGGAUAGUGGCCUACCAUGGUUUCAACGGGUAACGGGGAAUUAGGGUUCGAUUCCGGAGAGGGAGCCUGAGAAACGGCUACCACAUCCAAGGAAGGCAGCAGGCGCGCAAAUUACCCAAUCCCGACACGGGGAGGUAGUGACAAUAAAUACUGAUACAGGGCUCUUUUGGGUCUUGUAAUUGGAAUGAGUACAAUUUAAAUCCCUUAACGAGGAACAAUUGGAGGGCAAGUCUGGUGCCAGCAGCCGCGGUAAUUCCAGCUCCAAUAGCGUAUAUUAAAGUUGUUGCAGUUAAAAAGCUCGUAGUUGAACCUUGGGCCUGGCUGGCCGGUCCGCCUCACCGCGUGCACUGGUUCGGCCGGGCCUUUCCUUCUGGGAAGCCGCAUGCCCUUUACUGGGUGUGUUGGGGAACCAGGACUUUUACUUUGAAAAAAUUAGAGUGUUCAAAGCAGGCCUUUGCUCGAAUACAUUAGCAUGGAAUAAUAAAAUAGGACGUGCGGUUCUAUUUUGUUGGUUUCUAGGACCGCCGUAAUAAUUAAUAGGGACAGUCGGGGGCAUCAGUAUUCAAUUGUCAGAGGUGAAAUUCUUGGAUUUAUUGAAGACUAACUACUGCGAAAGCAUUUGCCAAGGAUGUUUUCAUUAAUCAGGAACGAAAGUUAGGGGAUCGAAGACGAUCAGAUACCGUCGUAGUCUUAACCAUAAACUAUGCCGACUAGGGAUCGGACGAUGUUAUUUUUUGACUCGUUCGGCACCUUACGAGAAAUCAAAGUGCUUGGGCUCCAGGGGGAGUAUGGUCGCAAGGCUGAACUUAAGAAAUUGACGGAAGGGCACCACCAGGGGUGGAGCCUGCGCUAAUUUGACUC